CUAAUACAUGCAAGUCGAGCGAACAGACGAGGAGCUUGCUCCUCUGACGUUAGCGGCGGACGGGUGAGUAACACGUGGAUAACCUACCUAUAAGACUGGGAUAACUUCGGGAAACCGGAGCUAAUACCGGAUAAUAUAUUGAACCGCAUGGUUCAAUAGUGAAAGACGGUUUUGCUGUCACUUAUAGAUGGAUCCGCGCCGCAUUAGCUAGUUGGUAAGGUAACGGCUUACCAAGGCGACGAUGCGUAGCCGACCUGAGAGGGUGAUCGGCCACACUGGAACUGAGACACGGUCCAGACUCCUACGGGAGGCAGCAGUAGGGAAUCUUCCGCAAUGGGCGAAAGCCUGACGGAGCAACGCCGCGUGAGUGAUGAAGGUCUUCGGAUCGUAAAACUCUGUUAUUAGGGAAGAACACAUGUGUAAGUAACUAUGCACGUCUUGACGGUACCUAAUCAGAAAGCCACGGCUAACUACGUGCCAGCAGCCGCGGUAAUACGUAGGUGGCAAGCGUUAUCCGGAAUUAUUGGGCGUAAAGCGCGCGUAGGCGGUUUUUUAAGUCUGAUGUGAAAGCCCACGGCUCAACCGUGGAGGGUCAUUGGAAACUGGAAAACUUGAGUGCAGAAGAGGAAAGUGGAAUUCCAUGUGUAGCGGUGAAAUGCGCAGAGAUAUGGAGGAACACCAGAGGCGAAGGCGACUUUCUGGUCUGUAACUGACGCUGAUGUGCGAAAGCGUGGGGAUCAAA
rnacentral:rRNA from 1 species